UACGAAGGGGGCUAGCGUUGCUCGGAAUCACUGGGCGUAAAGGGUGCGUAGGCGGGUCUUUAAGUCAGAGGUGAAAUCCUGGAGCUCAACUCCAGAACUGCCUUUGAUACUGAGGAUCUUGAGUACGGGAGAGGUGAGUGGAACUGCGAGUGUAGAGGUGAAAUUCGUAGAUAUUCGCAAGAACACCAGUGGCGAAAGGCGGCUCACUGGCCCG
rnacentral:rRNA from 1 species